UACGUAGGGUGCAGGCGUUAAUCGGAAUUACUGGGCGUAAAGCGUGCGCAGGCGGUCUGCUAAGAGAGAUGUGAAAUCCCCGGGCUUAACCUGGGAACUGCGUUUCUAACUGGCAGGCUUGAGUUGUGGCAGAGGGGGGUGGAAUUCCACGGUGUAGCAGUGAAAUGCGUAGAGAUGUGGAGGAACACCGAUGGCGGAAGGCAGCCCCCUGGGCUAACACUGACGCUCGAUGCACGAAGCGUG
rnacentral:rRNA from 1 species